AGGGGGGGGGGGGAGAUGGGAGAGUGUUGCGGGAGCGAGGGGUCGCCGCGGACGAGGGCGCCGGCGCCGGAGCACGCGGCGGGGUCGGUGGAUCGCAGGUUCUUGAAGCAGGUGUUCGACAACGUCCACGGCAGCAUAUCGCUCGAUCCGCUCAGUUUGAAGUUCAUCGACACUGAACAGUUCCAAAGGUUGCGGGAUUUGAAGCAACUUGGUCUUACAUACAUGGUCUAUCCAGGAGCAGUGCACACUCGUUUUGAACAUUCAUUAGGGGUUUACCGGCUUGCUGGAGAAGCUGUUCAAUGCCUUAGAACCUACCAAGGUUCAGAGCUGGAUAUUGAUCAUUUUGAUAUACAGACUGUGAAACUUGCAGGACUUAUGCAUGAUAUUGGUCAUGGGCCUUUCAGUCACCUGUUUGAGCAUGGGUUUCUUUCUCAAGUUCUUCCAGGAUCAAACUGGUCUCAUGAGCAGAUGUCAGUGCAGUUGGUGGACUAUAUUGUGGAUGAACAUCACAUAGACAUUGAUGCCAAUUGCCUUAAGACAGUUAAAGAGAUGAUAAUUGCCAGCUCUAAUAUUGCCAAGGAAAAGAGUGCAAAAGAGAAACUUUUUCUGUAUGACAUUGUUGCUAAUGGUCGUACUGGAAUAGAUGUUGAUAAGUUUGACUAUAUCGGUCGUGAUUGUCGAGCGUGUGGACUUGGAUGUAAUUUCCAGUUCAACAGAUUAUUAGAAGGCAUGCGUGUUAUGGACAAUGAAAUAUGCUACCCAGCCAAAGAAUAUCUUACCAUCCACAAAUUGUUUGCAACUCGUGCUGACCUUCAUCGUACCGUCUACACCCAUGCAAAAGUGAAGGCCGUUGAGCUCAUGCUUGUAGAUGCGCUUCUUAAGGCCAAUGAUUACCUACAAAUAUCCUCGUGUUCUUUGGACCCCGCUGAAUUUUGGAAGCUGGAUGAUACACUACUAAAAACCAUUGAAAUAGCUGAUAGCAAGAAGUUGCAAGAAUCAAGAGAUAUUAUCCGACGUAUUCGUCGAAGAGACUUAUACCAGUUCUGCAAUGAGUAUGCUGUUCCGAAGGAUAAAAUCGAGCAUUUUAAGGACAUCGCUCCGCAAGACAUAAUAUGCUGCCAGGCAGCCGGUGGAGUACAACUGAAGGAAGAGGAUGUCGCCGUUAGCAAUGUUAAGAUCGAUUUGACGCGUGGAAGAGAUAACCCUAUUGAGAGCAUCAAUUUCUUCAAGGAUUACGACAGCGACAAGAAGUUCUCCAUCUCAGAUGAUCGCAUCAGCUGCCUUCUUCCUACAUGUUACCAGGACAGAAUUGUGAGGGUGUAUGCCAAGAAGCCUGAAUUGGUUGAGGCCAUAUCAGAAGCUUUUGAGAAUCUACAGCUGAAAAUGUACGGCGUGAAAAAGCAGGUACACGAGACGCCAGAAAAGAAGAAACGCCGGAGGUAAGCUGUAUAGAGACUGCAUGUGUAUUCAUCUCUACGUAUACUCACCCUACAUAGCAAUAAUGGUUUUGGGAAGUGUUGUUGGUUUUUUGAGCAGGAGCAUCGUGCAACAGCUCGAAAUGGACGCCGUUAAUUCCAUCAUCUGCCAUUCUAGUUUGGCGUCUAUAGAUAAUCCAGAGAGCAUUGGCUGUACGGACUCACUCUCUCUCUCUCUCUCUCUCUCUCUCUCUCUCUCUGCGCGUAUAGAAUGCAUGCACAAGAACAACUUUCAAUGAAACUUCUAUAAUAAACCACUUUAUUA